CGUCAGAGAGUUGAUCCUGGCUCAGGAUGAACGCUAGCUACAGGCUUAACACAUGCAAGUCGAGGGGCAGCAUUGGAGUAGCAAUACUCAGAUGGCGACCGGCGCACGGGUGAGUAACACGUAUCCAACCUGCCGCUUACUCGGGGAUAGCCUUUCGAAAGAAAGAUUAAUACCCGAUGGUAUAAAGAGUUCGCAUGUUCUCUUUAUUAAAGAUUUCGGUAAGCGAUGGGGAUGCGUUCCAUUAGAUAGUUGGCGGGGUAACGGCCCACCAAGUCUACGAUGGAUAGGGGUUCUGAGAGGAAGGUCCCCCACAUUGGAACUGAGACACGGUCCAAACUCCUACGGGAGGCAGCAGUGAGGAAUAUUGGUCAAUGGACGAGAGUCUGAACCAGCCAAAAGUAGCGUGAAGGAUGACUGCCCUAUGGGUUGUAAACUUCUUUUAUAAGGGAAUAAAGUGAGGGACGUGUCCCUUUUUGUAUGUACCUUAUGAAUAAGGAUCGGCUAACUCCGUGCCAGCCGCGGC
rnacentral:rRNA from 1 species